UACCUGAUGUUGUUGAGUCUCGAAGUCACU
rnacentral:piRNA from 1 species